UAUAAGUAUGUGUUAAGAAUGUACUUAUAAGUAUGUGCUAAGAAUAUUCGAUAAAGGUAUAUUCUAAGAAUAAAGUUUUACGAAUAUUCCGAGUUACUACGUACACGAAUGUACUCAGUAUCUCCGGUACGAGAAUAUACUUUAAAGUAUAUGCAAAGAACAUGAAAUUUAGAAUGUUUUUUAAGGUACGUGCUAUGCUUGUACUACGCAUAUACUAAAAAGAAUAUACUCCGACGAAUGUUGGUAGUAUAUGCUUAGAACAUGAUACGAACAUCAUUGUUAUGUGGGUGAAGCCUAUAAUUCAAAAAUUCGAAUUUUCCCGGAUAUGAGGUGUACGUAGUGUGACCAACUAGCCCGAAAAUCCGGAACAUGGCCCGAAUUACUGUCCCGGACGAAGCUUCCGGGCCAUCCUAAUUUUAAACGUUUAGGUAAAAUUUUAUUUUGAAAUUUUGAAUACGUUAUUCUUCUAAGAAUUCAACAUUUUCUUCUCAUUUUUAAGCAAAUUCUAAGGUAAUCAACAUAAAACUGUUCUGAAGCUAAUUUCUUAUGGCAUGUUUAACAAUUAUAUUUUUGAUGGGAUUAAGCGACAAUUGUAUGAUAAUUACAUUUUUACAUUAAACUAAAAUUAUAUUGACAUUAAAAUCCAAUAUCAGUUGAUUUUCUAAUUUUUUCUUUUUUGAGAACGAUAUCCGGAUUGGAAGUCGAAACGUCAAAAACUAACAAAAAUAUAAUUACCAUUACAACCAAUUAUGGCUUAAUCCCAUAAAAAAUAUCAUUGUCAACAUAAAAAUGGCCCGAUUUUCAUUGAAAAGUCCCGGAUUUCAGGUAUUCUUUUCAGCCUUGUCCCGAAUUCCAUUGAAUUGGAGUUGGUCACACUAGGUAUACACCGUUAGAUGAGCCUAGAGCCCUUCUACAAACGGUCAGUUAAAGGCGCAAUUUGUAGGUUGAAAUUUUGAGUAAUUGUCGAAAAACCAAAAUUUUCAAAGUUUAGUUUUUCAGUUUUUCGGCUCUACUGAGCCGUGUGUAUGUCUAAUUCUGACGGCUUAGACAACGUUUGAAAGCUUAACUCAAUACUAUUGAUUUGGUGUAUGUGCGGUUCUUCUGUCUCUUAUUGGGCAAUCCAAACCACGUGACUUCUGGUUGGCACACAAAGUUACAGAGGAUUUGUUUGUAUUUAUCUAUUUUUCAUUGUUUAUCACUUUAUCGUCGUAUUUUGUCUAUUUUGGAUUCAUUUGGAUUUCGUUUGCUGUAUUUUGUGAACUUUAUAACCACACUGCAAAGUGAUCAUUUAAGGAAAUUAUUAUUAUUGGAAACUCAGAUGUUGCGAGAAAGGUAGGCGAAACAAUUUUUAUUUACUGUUCAUUUUGCCCCGAUAUUUAUCAAUAAUGAUGAAUUUUGCAAGCAAUAACAUUAUUUCUUUUAUUGUUUUAGAUAUUUAUGGAAUCUGAAAAUAAUUGGGGAUUUAGAUCCAUACGCAAUUCAGUCGAAAUUGGAUUUUACAGUAAAAGUGCAUUCCAUCAAGUUACUAUUAUAGAUAUUUAUACAUAUCUGGUAGAGUCUCACAGUUGCUACUCUAAGCAGCAGAUGAAAGCAUACAAAAGCCUUCAGGCACAUAAAUAUUUUACAGCUGGAUUUGUUUUGAAACUUGGAGUAAAAAUUGUUAAUGAUUUCCUGAUUUCCAUAUUAUUGUUGGAAAGGUGAAUCAUUUCCAAAAAGCUAAUGCUAAACGACUAAAUGCUUGGGUGGGGUGAUAGCCAGUUCUGAUGACAUAACAAAUGCACAUUGUAUGCGUAUGGCCAGUAAUAGUGAAGUCUGCAGCCACAUUGCAGCAAUCCUAUUUUUAGCUGAGUAUGCCCACGGCAAGACAAACGAAGAAGAACCCAAUGCAUGUAUAUAUGUUACAGCUACAUGGUUUGGAGAUAGCAACAUAUGCAUUCUCUGAUGAAAAACUAAUGAGUUUUGAAACUAUUCGGUCAGAGUGCUUGUUGCGCUCACUAAACGAACUGAAAUAUAAGACGGCUUUGGCAUUGUGUUGCAGCGAUAUGAAAAUGGUUAUUCAUUUUUAAUUAUAAUGUACUUCUUCAUCAUGAAUAAUUAUGUAUUGGUCUUUUAAGUGUGUAUUUAUUUUUGUAAUUAGUAUCAACUUGUAAUGAUAAUAUACAUUUAUCGUUUAAGGUAUGACUAAGUUUUGACUCUAAAAUAAAUGUUUUAAAAAUCGAA
rnacentral:lncRNA from 1 species